rnacentral:rRNA from 1 species
GCCAAGGAGAGAGCUUGGGCUGGAAAAGACAAGAGAAAAGAAUAUUUGAAAGCUAAGCAGGGUCGGGCCUGGUUAGUACUUGGAUGGGAGACCACCUAGGAAUACCAGGUGCUGUAGGCA